UGGUUAUAAUUUUUUAACACUCAGAGUCCACAGUUUAGCGAGAAGUGACGAUAACUAAAAUACAGGCAAAGAGAAAUUUAAUUAAUACGAGAAGUAUGUCAUCCAAACUAAAGUUAAUAAACCUGUGGAUUGUUUUGUCGUUACUGAUAUUGCUAAUUGCCUGCGGAAAUGCGAGAUCCCAGAAGCUAACGUGCCACGAACAGCAAGGAGAAUGUAUGGCUUUUUGCAAUAUUCAAUUGCAUAUAAAUGCCACUGACUGUCGCAAGGAUCAAGUAUGCUGUCUUUUGAUUUAAAUUGUUCUUCUAUGAAAUUGUAAUACCAUCAGCAAUAAAAAAUAAUAUAACAUAAUUACACUCUAAUAGUGUAAUUUGAGUGAAUAACUGCUUUGCUUUGAUUUUGAAUUUAGCUUAUGCGCAUUCUAAGCGUUCUUGUGUAUAAGUUUUUAUUUUUUUUGGAACGUAGUUUGUAUAUUUUCAAAAGUGAUAUUAUAAUUUAAAUUGAAGUGAAAUUAAUAAAAUAAACAUUUUAGUUAAUAAUUGCAUCUCUACAUUCUGCACUCCGAUGUUGUGCAAAUGUAAAAGUUUACUUAUAACAUAAAUUUCAAUUGCAGCCGAAUAGGUGAACAGGUUUAAUACACUGUGAGUCACGGUUGUUGCCAUUUUUACUAAUUACAUUGUCUAAUGAAAUUUAUGCCAAAUGAUGCGUUGUUGCUGACGUUGUUUAUAAUACUAAUGUGGCAAGAAAGUACUUUUAAAUAGCGUAAAUAAUGAAGUUAAGAUGGUUUCGGUAUACACUAUGUAAGCUUGGUUAUACUUCUUAAACAUUAAGAGUCCACAGUUCAGCAAGAAUUGACGAUAAAUAAUUUACAGACAGAGAGAAUUAUGUCAUCCAAACUAAAGUUGAUAAACCUGUGGACUGUGUUGUCGUUAGUGAUAUUUCUAUUUGUCUGCGGAAGUGCGAGAUCCCAGCAGCUAACGUGCCACGAACAGCAAGGAGAAUGUAUGGCUUUUUGCAAUAUUCAAUUGCAAAAAAAUGCCACCGACUGCCGCAAGGACCAAGUAUGCUGUGUUUUGGUUUAAAUUGUUCUUCUAUGAAAUUUUCUAUCUAUCAGCAAUAAAAAAUAAUAUAACAUAAUUACACUUUAAUAGUGUAAUUUGAGUGAA